CAAACGGAGACAGACGACUAGUAAAUACACGCACGUGCGUGGAUGUCGCGCGGAGUGUGGGAACCCUCCUCCCCCUCCCAACGUUCACGGAUCGGUGCCCCCGCCAUUGAGCUCAGGUCCAAGCAGCCUGUGCUUGUCGUAAGAGGCGACCAACUGGUUCGGGCGGUCGCUUCGGUGGCUUUGCUGGUUGAUUGUCAAUGAACUCCGACCGCGUUGGACGUCAUAUCAACCACUGAACGAAGUAUACGUAUGUCACACCCUGUGGGCGGAAUAGAUCGCCGGUAGCCAUGCUUGUCGUAAGAGCUGACAGAUAUGUUGACUGGGUGGACAAUAUGACCGACCAUGGUUAUUUUGCGUAUCUGGCAUCCUCGUUUAUCCAGUAGACUAUAUCUCCAUUCUGAUAAAGUAUAAAUACAAUAGCUUAAGGAUGUAAUACAAUGUAUAAUCGAGGGUGCCGACUCGUAUUUCGUAAGAUAUAGCUGCUAUUUGACUAAUUUCGGCGUAAAACAAAAUACACACAUUCACUAAGAGGAACACAGUUAUGAACAUUUAUAUCCCGCCACAUUCUAUUGACAUAUGCUCGGUAACAGUGUUAAUACAAGCCUGGAAUAUUUCACUAACCACUUGAAACAUUUGCGAACAAUUAAACCUGGUAGCUUAUGGCAUACGGGCUGAGCCAUAUAUAACAGCAAUAAAACAAUUGCCAUAUCUGGAUUAUGCAAGAAUUGAAAAUGUGGCCUUAUUUUUCUAAUUAGCACUCCGGGGUUAAUUUACGAACACAUGUGCGCUCAAUACUGCCACCGUUUAUACGACCAUUCACAGCAUCAGUCAAGAGUGUGUUCAUGUUGAAUGAAAAUGAAUUUGGUUGAUUAAGUCGUCUACUUCUUCCAAUAUGAAAAUUGUAGCGCAUGCUAGACAUUUUUAUGUGAAAUUAAGCCCUUAAAGGUUUUUUUUAUUAACAUGAUUAUUUUGCGAGAAAAAUUGUUCGUAUGGAUUAUUUC